UACGUAGGGUGCGAGCGUUAAUCGGAAUUACUGGGCGUAAAGCGUGCGCAGGCGGUGAUGUAAGACAGAUGUGAAAUCCCCGGGCUCAACCUGGGACCUGCAUUUGUGACUGCAUCGCUAGAGUACGGCAGAGGGGAUGGAAUUCCGCGUGUAGCAGUGAAAUGCGUAGAUAUGCGGAGGAACACCGAUGGCGAAGGCAAUCCCCUGGGCCUGUACUGACGCUCAUGCACGAAAGCGUGGGAGCAACAGG
rnacentral:rRNA from 1 species